rnacentral:misc_RNA from 1 species
GAUGAAGAACGUAGCGAAAUGCGAUAAGUAGUGUGAAUUGCAGAAUUCAGUGAAUCAUCGAAUCUUUGAACGCACAUUGCGCCCCUUGGUAUUCCAUGGGGCAUGCCUGUUCGAGCGUCAUUUGUACCUUCAAGCUCUGCUUGGUGUUGGGUGUUUGUCUCGCCUCUGCGUGUAGACUCGCCUCAAAACAAUUGGCAGCCGGCGUAUUGAUUUCGGAGCGCAGUACAUCUCGCGCUUUGCACUCAUAACGACGACGUCCAAAAGUACAUUUUUACACUCUUGACCUCGGAUCAGGUAGGGAUACCCGCUGAACUUAAGAAUAUCAAUAAGCGGAGGA